CUUGAGAUUCUGUGAGGAGAACCUAUGCUAUAGAAAAUCUCCUGUGCAAUUCAGAUUGAUUGUAGCUUGUCAGCAUGAUAACAAAUGUGUGAGAGCUCCAGAAAACAUCUAUACAGACAGUGUUAGUGUCACCUGUUCUGACCUGCUGUCUUCUCUAGUCUCUCAGAUAUCUAGCUUAUUGACCUGGCCAUGGAUCCAACACCUAAUCAAACAAAAAAUGUAGAACCUGUGCAACCUCAUGAGAACACAAUGACCAUAGAAAUACCGGCUCUGGGACGCCCCUUCUCCCUUGGGAUGCUGUAUGACUGUCGUGCUGAUAAGCUCAUUCCAGGUAUAACAUUUUGGAACCAUCAGGCAUUGCGAGAGAAUGUGGCAUCUACACCUCUAGAGAAUACGUCAUUUGACAUUAUAGCCUCAGACACUGUUUCUGAGAAAUCAUCCGCUCUGAAUAUCUCAGCAUCUAUAAAAGCCAGUUUCCUCUCUGGUCUGAUUGAAGUUGGUGGAUCUGCCCGUUACAUAAAUGACACAAAAACAUCUAAGAACCAAGCCAGAGUCACCCUAAAGUACUCAAGAACCACAAGGUUUGAGCAGCUGAGCAUGGACCAUUUAGGUAUCCAGAACAUGACUUACCAUGGUGUGUUUGACAAAGGGACGGCCACCCAUGUGGUCACUGGUAUAUUGUAUGGUGCUCAAGCCUUCUUUAUAUUUGAUCGUGAGCUGUCUGAAUCAGAUAUACAAGGAAAUCUUGAAAUACAAGGACAUUUCAAGGUCAUGAUUAGAAAGGUUCCCUCAUUUACCACCAAAGGAAAGGGAGAUCUGACAAUGAAUGAUAAAGAUAAGGCAGAAGUGAAAAAAUUUAGCUGUAAGUUUCAUGGAGACUUCGCCCUGGAGAGCAAUCCGGUCACAUAUUUAGAUGCCAUAAAGGUUUAUACCGACCUCCCAAAGUUACUAGGAGAGAGAGGGGAAAAGGCUGUACCUGUGAAAGUAUGGCUGUAUCCACUGAGGAAGCUGGACAGUAAAGCUGCCCGGUUGGUUAUAGACAUCCGUGAAGAUCUUGUAUACAGGACAGAAAAGGUGAUACAGCAAAUGAUAGAUGUUAAAAUACAGUGUAAUGAUCUGAUGAGACAUCCGGCUGCAGAGAAAUUUCCUGACAUCAAGAAUACCAUCACUGAGUUCAGAGAGCAGUGUGAUCAAUUUACACUCACAUUUAAGAAGCAGCUUGCACGGACCUUACCCUCUAUCCGUGGUGGGGGAUCAGAGGAAGCUGCACUUGCUGACAUUUUACUUGGUAUACAAAAAUCUCCAUUUGAUAAGCUCCACAUUACACAGUUUCUAAUCGCAAUAGAACAAGAGAUGGAUACUGUGAGCUCCUAUCUGGAAGCGCUGCCCAACAUCAAAGUAUUACCAACUGAGAUUGAAAGAAACAAACUAAUACUUAGCCCUAUGACUGAACAUGUGGUGUGUUUUAAUUUUACAUCACUAAAUGAGGAGGAGCCAUAUCUUUCUGAUAUGUGUAAUUGGCUCCAAUCACCUGGACACACUGUCUAUGAGAAUAGAAAUAUCUCACCAUGGUUCAAGGACAAAGAUGUCUCUAUGAGAGCAAAGAGAUGCGUGAGAGCAUUUCCAGAAUUUGCUGCAGCCAAUGCAACUAGUGAGAAGACCCGAUUCAUUAUCUCAUCUGUCCCAGACCAGAGUAGUCCUGGAGUCUCUAUUUACCUGUAUGAGUGCGUGGGUUUGCUGAGUGAAAAGUUUGAGCCUCCAACAAAACCUAAUCCCCUAGUUAUCAGUGGUAGGACACAUGAGAGUAUGGAUCUCAUCCUCAGUCCUGCAGACAUUGGGAAAGAGUUCAUAGAGGGAUACAAAAUAGAGUAUAGAUCUGCUGGGACGGAGAACUGGUCACAUAUUAUAACAAAGCAUAAAGAUCAGAAGAUCACAGUUACAGGACUAAAGCCUAAUAAAAAUUAUCAGCUCAGAUACUCUGCAGUGUGUAAACCAGGACUCAGCGCUGCCAGUGAUGUUACAAAAGAUGAAAGAACUCUUCCCACUAGUCCACCUGAAGCCACACGUGAAGCUGCUAAACCAUCCUAUGUUAUAUUAAUUGUAAAGAAACCAACUAUAAUUGGACAUGGAGCCACAAUAACGGAGUAUAAAGUUGAAUACAAGGAAAAAGCUGAAAAGCAAGAUGGGAGGUGGCUGGAAUAUAGAUCAGGAGAGUUUUGUAUUAUUGAGAAGCUAAAGCCAAUGACAUCCUACAUAAUACGUGUGUCAGCCAUAUGUGGUGAUUCUGGGGUCAGUGCUCCCAGUGAUGAGGUCGUAGUUACAACAACAAAAGAAAGAUCCUUUAAUCUUAAGAAUCAAAAGCAAGAAAACAGUAUUCUGCUAAAGAAAAAAGAAAAAGGGAAGCCUUCUGUAUAUCAGCUGAACAUGGAUCUUUGUGACUCUGGAUAUCGUAAGUACAGCUUGGGAAAAGAAAACCUCCAGAAACCUAAUAAAGUGAUUCUAUUAGUAGGAGCUACAGGAACAGGAAAAACAUCCCUGAUCAAUGGGAUGGCCAACUACAUCUUAGGUGUGGAAUGGAAAGAUGACUUUAGGUUCAGACUUGUAGACGAAGCUACAGAUACAUCUGAGGCUCAUAGCCAAACCUCUCUAGUUACAGCCUACAACUUGCAUUAUGAAGAUGGCUAUGAAAUCCCUUAUUCCCUCACCGUGAUAGACACACCAGGGUUUGGAGACACACGAGGAAUAGCACAGGACAAGAAGAUCAUAGAGGACAUUGCAGCAUUUCUUACAGUGGACAAUGGCAUUGAUCAGAUAGAUGCUGUGUGCUUUGUAGUACAGUCAUCUUUGGCUCGGCUGACACACAUCCAGAAAUAUAUUUGUGAAUCUGUGUUUUCUACCUUUGGAAAAGAUAUCAGAGACAACAUAAUGAUCCUGAUAAACUUCUCAGAUGGUGAGAAACCUCCAGUACUACAAGCCAUAAAAGUAGCUGACAUCCCCUACCCUGUGGACAGUAAUGGUGACCCCGUUCACAUCAAGUUCAACAACUCGGCUCUAUUUGCCAGCAAUCAGGCCAGUGACAUGAGUUUUACUGAGAUGUUCUGGAUGAUGGGGGAGCAAAGUAUGGGAACAUUUUUCAGCUAUCUGACAAAUAUAGAAACCAAAAGUCUGAUGCUGACCAAGAAAGUCAUCAAGGAAUGGAAUAGGCUUCAGAUUACUGUACAGGCCUUACAGUCAAAUAUAAAGGCUGGGCUAAUGAUACUGGAAGUAAUAAGAAAGACCAAGGAAGCUCUGCAGCAGAACAAGGACUGUAUGGCAGCAAAUGAGGACUUGGAGUAUGAGGUAACUCUCCCGGUACUGAAAGUGAUAACAGGCUGUUCUGUGACUAGAACAGAAAAAAUAAUCUUUAAAGCACAUACACAGACUGUAGAAAAAAUGUCCAAACAACCGUACAUGGAAUAUAAUUUUGUGAAAGGAGUAGUGUUUGAUCUUAAUAUCAUGGCCUGCAAGAGUCUGAUGCGCCUCCAUAAAAUUGCUCUAAGACCAACCCCUCUGUCAGACCCUGAACAUAUUGGCCUAAUGAUACAGAGUGAGGAACAAGAAGCCAAACCAGGAUAUCAUGAGAGAAUCCAGUCCCUGAUGGAGGUCAGACAGCAGGCAGAGAUAUUAAAGAAGAUUGACAAGGGAGAAGAGUUGUUGCACUGAUCUCAUUAUGGUGCACACAAUAGACAGCACAGGAGAAGAUACCAAUAAGAGGUAAAAAAAUGGAAGAAAGGAAAACUCUACAAAAUCAAAUCCCCAUAGAGAGGGGAAAGGACAGAGAAACCAGGAACAAUUUGAGGUGCACUCAACCCAACUAACAAGAUUUAGUGUAUUUAUUAUCAGAAAUGUGUAUCCACACUGUAAUAUCUAAUAAAGGUUUACAUGCUCAUCAU